rnacentral:rRNA from 1 species
AAUCACUUGUCUCUCAAAUGGAGACCUGUAUGAAAGGCAUGACGAGGGCUUAACUAGUCUUCUUUUUCCAGUCAAUGAAAUUGAUCUCCCCGUGCAGAAGCGGGGAUAGAACCAUAAGACGAGAAGACCCUGUGGAGCUUAAGACGCAGGAACAGAUCAUGCUAAAACCCACACUCAAGGAAGAACUUAAUGAUACCUGUCCCAAUGUCUUUGGUUGGGGCGACCAUGGGGAAGACCUAACCCCCAUGUAGACAAGGAGCACUAGAGGAACAUCUCCACACCCUACGACCACCCUCCUACAAACCAGAGCCCCGGCUCUAGUUAACGAGACAUUCGACUUAAACUGAUCCGGAAUAACCGAUCAACGAACCUAGUUACCCCAGGGAUAACAGCGCUAUCCCCUUCAAGAGCCCAUAUCGCCAAGGGGGUUUACGACCUCGAUGUUGGAUCAGGACAUCCUAAUGGCGCAGCUGCUAUUGAGGGUUCGUUUGUUCAACGAUUAA